rnacentral:ncRNA from 1 species
CUUUUGCUAGCCUCGGAAGCCAGCCCGACGAGACGCGCCGUACCGGGACGAAGGCAAAGACGACGCACC